CUAGCAGUAUCAGAGUUUGUAUCCUGGCUCAGGACGAACGCUGGCGGCGUGCCUACACAUGCAAGUCGAACGGAGGUUAACCUUCGGGUUAACUUAGUGGCGAACGGGUGAGUAACGCGUGAGGAAUCUGCCUUUCAGUGGGGGACAACAGUUGGAAACGACUGCUAAUACCGCAUAAUGUUAUUUGGGGGCAUCCCCAGAUAACCAAAGAUUUAUUGCUGAAAGAUGACCUCGCGUCUGAUUAGAUAGUUGGUGAGGUAACGGCUCACCAAGUCGACGAUCAGUAGCCGGACUGAGAGGUUGAACGGCCACAUUGGGACUGAGAUACGGCCCAG
rnacentral:rRNA from 1 species